AGUGAACGCUGGCGGUAGGCCUAACACAUGCAAGUCGAACGGCAGCACAGUAAGAGCUUGCUCUUACGGGUGGCGAGUGGCGGAUGGGUGAGGAAUACAUCGGAAUCUACUUUUUCGUGGGGGAUAACGUAGGGAAACUUACGCUAAUACCGCAUACGACCUACGGGUGAAAGCAGGGGAUCUUCGGACCUUGCGCGAUUGAAUGAGCCGAUGUCGGGUUAGCUAGUUGGCGGGGUAAAGGCCCACCAUGGCGACGAUCCGUAGCUGGUCUGAGAGGAUGACCAGCCACACUGGAACUGAGGCACGAACUAGACUCCUACGGGAGGCAGCAGUCGGGAAUAUUGGACAAUGGGCGCAAGCCUGAUCCAGCCAUACCGCGUGGGUGAAGAGGGCCUUCGGGUUGUAAAGCCCUUCUGUUGGGAAAGAAAAGCAGCAGGUUAAUACCCCGCUGUUCUGACGGUACCCAAAGAAUAAGCACCGGCUAACUUCGUG
rnacentral:rRNA from 1 species